rnacentral:piRNA from 1 species
AUAACGUCCACGUGGAGAUUGAGCAGC